CCGACAGUUCCAAUGAGGUGGAAGGUGUGUAUGUUAUGCCAAUAUCAUGGGGUGGUGAUCAUCGUGUUAUUGAUGGUGCUACUAUGGCACGCUUUAGUAAUUUAUGGAAGGAUUAUUUGGAAGAUCCGCUUAGUAUGUUGUUGUAUAUGAAGUGAUA
rnacentral:ribozyme from 1 species